GACGAAGGAUGCAAGCGUUAUCCGGAUUCAUUGGGUUUAAAGGGAGCGUAGGCGGACUUGUAAGUCAGUGGUGAAAUCUGUGGGCUUAACCCACAAACUGCCAUUGAUACUGCAGGUCUAGAGUACAGUUGCCGUUGGCGGAAUAUGACAUGUAGUGGUGAAAUACUUAGAUAUGUCAUAGAACACCGAUUGCGAAGGCAGCUAACGAAGCCGUAACUGACGCUGAGGCUCGAAAGUGCGGGGAUCAAACAGG
rnacentral:rRNA from 1 species